AACUUCAGCAACGGAUCUCUUGCUCUCCCAUCGAUGAAGAACGCAGCGAAUUGCGAUAACUAAUGUGAAUUGCAGAAUCCAGUGAAUCAUCGAGUCUUUGAACGCACCUUGCGCCCUUUGGUAUUCCGAAGGGCAUGCCUGUUUGAGUGUCU
rnacentral:rRNA from 1 species